AUCCUGGUGUGUUUUCAUAAUUUCUCCUGAUGCAACAACAUCCACAAGUUCAUGGUUGGUAUAAAAUAAAAAGGGGAAAGCUUAAGCCAAGUCAAAACUUCCACCCAGGAUCCAGGCCCAGCCCACACCUGCUCACUUCCACAGUGUUCACGGCUGUUUUCAAAAGCAGAGUCGAGUCAUUUCCGGAUAGGAGACAGAGUGUGUGAACCACAAAACCUAAAAUAUCCCAGACAGCACAGGAGCAGGAGAUACUACUGCCCCUGAUGGGGUGUCUGGGACUCAGCGUUGACACCGAUCCCCAUCUACUUUCUCAAACCUGCAGCCCAUGAAGGCUCCUGGGAGUUAGUCUUCGUUAAUUUAACCCGUUACCAGAACACCACUAGGUGAUUUUUAAGGAUCUCAGUUUAUUAAUUCUUAGUCAUGUGAUUUUUGUGCCUUUUUUGGUGACUGUUCAAGAGAGACUUACAGUUUAGGACGGGACCUCGGCGUGAGUCCACUGCACAGUGUGCCCUCUGUGUUGGUGAGUUUUGAGUCCUGGAAUCUAUCGAUAAUGAUGGAGAAUAUUCAUAAACAACAAUCGCAUCUGUACUAAACCUGCUGGGCUUUUUCUUCUUGUCAUUACUUCCUAAACAAAGUAGUACAACAACUGAUUUCCCAGUGUGCAGUACUAUGAGCCAUCUAGAGAGGAGUCGAGGCCUGCAGGUGGCUGUGCACAGGCUGUAUGCAAGCACGGUGCCAUUUCCUACGUGGGAACCGUCCCCCAGGUACCAAGGGACAAGGGUGCUCACAGGAGAAAAGGUGUUUCCAGUACAAACUCCCUUUGAAGUCAUUGUAAGUAGACCGUAUCGUGGAGAGUACAUUUCACUGUUUUCUUUAGAAUUUCUUCCUUGUAGCAACUCCACACUGACCCCUGGGGACAUUCCAGCUGACAGUCCUCUGGUCUGCAGCAUGGCUGGCCUCUCCCCACUGGACGUCAAUGGCACACCCCCUACCACACCUUGUGACCAGCCAACCUGUUC
rnacentral:lncRNA from 1 species